AUAUUUUCUACCCUCUGGUCAUCCUGAUUCACCUGACACACAAGAACUUUUCAGAAGCUCUGUCGUCCCAUCAGAUGAGCCUAAAGUCAGCUCUGCUGUGGAUGGAGCCAGUUUCUGCAAACAGAAGAUAACUGGAAGAAAACUUUGGUUUAGCAAGUGGAAAAUAGCAUGCAGAUCCCCUGGCCUUCAAGCUUCAGAGCUGAUUCAGAUGAUCUUCCAGGAAUGAAGAACUCUCCCAAGCUGGAAUGUGAUACCACAGAUGGCUCCUUCACCAACAAGC
rnacentral:lncRNA from 1 species